UCUAGCUCAGCAUGACUCAUCAAGGCUCUCCCUAAUUGGGGCUCACAGGUCAUGUGACAGCACCUACCCAGGUGGGAGAAGAUAGAAGGUGCCAAGAGGUGGUGGGUUCUGCAGCUGGUGUGCAGGGCCAAGAGGAGCAACGGAGAUCUGAGCCUGUAGAUGUGAUAGAUCCCAAAGGAGCCGUGCGAAGGAGCCCGUGCUGCUGGAGGACUGCACCUUGCCAAAUCGUCUUGGCAGCCGCAUCCAUGCAGCCCAUCCAAGAGGGGGUUUUCCAGAAUGUUAUGGUCACAAAUCUUCCUAACUCUCAAGUCUGAUUGCAGUGUUUAUUUAAAACACUCCUCCUUUUAGCAGCUCUGUGUAAGCUACAGCGUGAGACAACUCAUUAUAGCUUGACAGAGGGGUAUGGACAUAUGUGCGCACCAGACUCACGUAUGAACGAACCUACAAAAGGAAUGGUGAGGCAAGAAAUAGUACAUCAAAGACAAGUGGGAGAGCAAGCAACUGUCAGACAUCUCAGCCUCCACAGAAGAGGAAUGGCACUGCUGUGGUUAGUCACAACUGUAGCUGCCCCAGCCUGCAGGGAUGAAGAAUCCCCAUUCCCAUGUGGUGGAUCCAGCAGUGAGGCAGAAGAUGUGGGAGCAAAGAGAGGUACCCAGGUGACCUCAGAACAAGCCAGAAGGGUGAAGCCUUCAUUUCUUCCCUUGGCAGGAUUGAACAGGCUGUGGUACGAACUGAGCUCAUCUCUCAGCCAGGAUUGUGUCUGCUCACAGGACCCCUCAGGUGUUCUCGGAGUGGCCUUUGCCUAUAGAUCAGCAUGCAGCAGUGUGGUGGAGAUGUGUCCCUCAGUGCCAUGUUCAUGCUUUUCUUGAAAACCUCCAGGGACGGUGACUCCACCACCUCCCUGGGAAAUGCUCUUUGCAUUUACGUUGGAGAAUGGAGAUUUGCAGGACCAAUGGAUACAACCAAGUGAGGACUGAAGGCUGCUGCAGUGGCAGCCACUGUGUGCUCAGAAAGCCGGUCCCUGGACACGGCAUGGUGACAUUUCCCAUUCAAUUGCAUGGGGACACUGCCACCGGUGGGAGCUGUUGCCAUGGCAAUGUGAUAAUUGUAGCACAUCCCAAGAGAGGUCCCUCUGCAGCAUCCCAAGAUUUCCCUUCGCCUCAUGCUAACGCCAGGGCUGCUCUUGAUCCUGUCAGCAGUAGCUGCGUGCGUUGCUAAAAAGACACAGAAAUAAAGCAAAUCUACCCAAAACAGGAGGCACCUGUUGGACGUGAGUGUGGAUUGUGCUUGGAGCAAAGCAGAGCUGGCAAGGGGGUGAGGAGCUGCCGUUGGUUUUGGGAAGUGAGAGCCUCGCCUCGCGUGGGUGUGACAGGACUGAGACACUUGGUCCCACAUACGGCACAGCCGUGGCUGUCACCAGCCCUGCUCUCCCCACUGCAGCACCUGCAAAUAAGAUCAGCCCAUGGCGGUGUCUGCCACUUUCUAGGUGCUGUGUUUUUUUUGGGGGGAAUGGUGGCUAUUUGAUGAAAGGUAGCGUUAAAAACUUCCUCUUGCAAAUGUCUAGAGCCUGUGACAAACACCCUGCUUAGAGACAUGGCGGGGCUGUGAGAGGGACGUUCUGGAGGUGGUCCUACGUGGUCUCCCUGCAUGAGCCCCCCUGGGUGUGUGAGAGCUGGCAGUGGAUGGGGACCUGCCCAGAUACUGUGCUGCUCCUUCCCAUGCAUCCAUGUGAACUGCAGGGCACACUGCUGGAUUUUGUGCUUUCCCAAGUUCUAGAAGUGCCCUUCAGCACUGAGGUUUAGAGCAAUACUUGGAGAGGGCUUCCUGUAGGUAUGUUUCCUGCCAGUGUGUUUUCUGUGACUGUUACCAUAUUUCAUGUAAAAUAGUCUGGUGCUUUGCAUGAGCACCAUCAGGGCUGAAAAAUCAGUGAGCAAGCUGGGAGGGCUGAGGCAGUGUUGUGUUUGCCUGGUGACCACCCCCAGCACUCUGAGCAUCCUUCCUUGGCCUUGCUCCUCAGUGACACUUUGAAUUGUGUGGUUUUUUUUCUGGAGCAUCUGUAUCAGCAUGAGCGUGCUGGUGUGCAUGGGAUGGGGACACAACUAAAGGCUGAAGCCACCUCAUUGAAUCAAGGGCACUGUAGAUGGAAUAAGCAGCAUUUGCUGAGAGCUGAACUAUAAGAGCUAUGUUUAGGCAAAAGCUUUAAAGCAGUCACAGUGUUAUUCUCUGUUACUUGAUGACGGCUUUGUUGUUAUAAGCUGGACUUUGCCAAUAACAUUAGCACACGUUGUGUGGUUCUGAAUGCUGGCUUAAUCUCAGAGAGAACUAAUCCAUUUCAAGAAGCAAAGUGUUGCUUUCACUGUAUGCUCUAAAUCAUCGCUUUCCCUUUUCUCAGGGUGAGAAUCUGAGCCUGCCACUGUGUAAUUUAAGUGACUAAGAUCGCUUUAUAUUGUCACCGUUGUCAGCAGUUCCAGUUUCCAUCAAAAUGAUACUUUGUGGUGUGGGGAAUUUAGGAUUCACAUUGUCAUGCUGGGUGCAAACUUCCAUGUUAAAAUACAGCUUAAUGCAGCGAAACGUUGUUCCAGCUCUCCCUGAAGCAGUCUACCCCAUUUGAGACUGGCCAGUACUGGGGAUGGAAAGGGCACGGGCAGCUGGAACCAGCCUGGAACUGUGAGGGAAACACCAGGAAUAGGUGUGCAGGAUCUGAGAGGUCACACCAGGGACUGGCAGGAUUUCCUUUGCCCAGUUGCACUCAGUCUGGCUUGGAGGCAGUUCUUUGUUUAUAAUUCUUUACGGAGGGAGGAACUGUGCACAGAGUGAAGAGUUGGGAUGGCAGUGCAAUCAGAGAUCUGCCCAUGCUUUGCUGCCUUCUCAUGCAGUUACUCUAGCUGCAAGAUUUCUGCUCUGCAAAUGGCAGCCACAGAGGAUACUGAAAAUGCUCCAGCUUAUUCAUAGAAAGCAGUGCCGCAGCAACUUGUCAUACAGAUGUCCCCACUGGAGAGAAAUCGCAGUAUGAGCUGAGCCCUGUCAGGAGCUGGGCUUUACAUCACCUGGCGCAACAAUGUGUGAAGCUGAGAACUUUAAUUAAUGGAGUUGGAGAACUGCCAGAAAGCACUGAAGAUGCUUGCCAGCAAUCAGCAGUGGGUCCUACAGCCUUCCUCUAUGUGUGUCACCUUCCUGGCGUGGCAGCGACUGGCAAAGGGGUCAUUCUCUGCCCACACUCCCCAGCUCCAGGCAGGGAUGCAGCAGUGCUCCCCUACCUGGUGGGAUGUCAGAUCAAUGGGGUCAUCUCCAUGGGGAAGACCUUGUAAGAGGCAGAAGUCAUAGUGUCCUAACAGCUUCACAAAAGCAGGUUCUUGGACUGCAGAGUGGUGGCAAAAUGCACCAGACCCAGUACCUCCAGCAUCAGCACAGGAUAAGUGGUCUGCUCCUCCUCUGGGUUUUGGUGGGCACACACCCCAUGGGAAAGGAUGUUUCUGCAGUGCCUGCAAACACAAGAAUUCAGCAAGCUUUUUCUCUCCACAAACCCUGUCGCUUUCUGCUGAUCAGCACUCCCGGGCUGUGGGGAAGGGAGCAUUUCUAGGUGGGUGUAUGCGAGAGUGGAGUUGGACCUGUGAUUCUUAAGUCAGCCUCAAAUGGGAAUCUGGAGGAGGAGGAGCACAAAUGGAGAUAACACUCCAGCUUGGCUUUGGAAAAUUUGCUUUUUCAUAGAAGACACUUUAUUUUACUCCUUUCCAUUUUUCCUAACUGAAUUUGCUGUUGCACGAACUUGAGGUCCGUUUGGAAACAGUCAGGUUUUACUCAAAGGAGGUGACUCACUGGCCUGAGAUGUCUCCAGGAAAUGAUACGAUGCUUCUUACAGCAUAGAAUAAAAGAGUAACCUUCCUGCCUGAGGGCACCUCUAAAAAACCAGACAAAAACUAAAGUCAGAAAUAUUUCAGUCAAAAAGCCUUGGCUUCGAGGUUUCCUUCCAACUUCUGUGCUGUGGUUCCUGGGGAAAAGGCUGACCUCUGAGGAUGGAGUCACUUGCAGCCAUGGAGAGGUUUGAAGGCUCUGUUCAGUCAGCUGAAAUGCUUCCUCCACACCUCUGCUGGAGAGGUCCCUAAAGGGCCGGCUCCUUGCUUAAGCAGAUGGAUUAAAAGGACUGAAAGCAGUCAUUGGUUGGGCUCCCUGAUGAAGGUGGAGAUGCGUGCUGGCAUGGAGGGAGCUGCUCUGGUGUUAGGUUGAUGUUUGUGAAAAGCUGAAGGAACCUGUCCAAUUGCUAAGCACUGCUUCUGGGAAGACUUAAAAAUAAAAAAUAAAAAAAAUAAAAAAAUCAAUUGAAAUCAUCCACUCAUCAGAGAAAGGAAAAAUUCAUAUUUGCAGAUCUCUGUGCAGCAUAGGAAGCUUUUAUAACAAACACAUGGAGCAUCCUUACAACCAAUGCUUUCUUGCUAGGACUCAAAACUAAAAAUAGUUUGCAGCCUACAACAAAUCCCAUCGACAGAGGAGAGAGUUUUUAAAGCUCAGUAUUUCUGUUUUGGAACCUUGCAUUAUAGAGGACGAUGUGACUUUUUCAUAUGGAAACACCAUUUAAUUAAGACUUAAACAGACGGUUAACAGGAAUGGUAUUGUAGGCUUCAUUGAAGUAAAAUCUAAAGGGCACAAUAAUAUUUCCACUUCACAGUGGCUUGUUUUGAUUCCUAGCAAUAAAUAAAUUAAUUUCACGUGUUGGAGGAAAACAUUUGCACUGUACAGUUCAUGUGUUGCUGCUUGUGUGUUAGGUGUAGAUCACAAAGCAGGUACAAACCUACACGUGGAGCAAAUUAUGCAAUACUUGAAAUCUAGUGAUAACUGCACAAAAGGGCAAAAAAAAAAUUCUAAUUCCCAUAACGAGAAAAAUCUCUUUGUGAGUUGUAAUCUCACCAUGUGCUAUACUCUGCACCUGCUCUUUGCACUUGCCUGCUUGCAGAAAACUCAUAGAAAGAGGAAAGUGACUGCAGUGUGUGUCUGUAGAUGGUGCUUAGUUACUUUUCCCCUACAGCAGAGCUCCGCUGAAGGCUUCACGUUUGAAAACAAGAAAGCGCUGUAUCUAAAUCAAAUUGAAAUGAAACUUCUGGAACUUCUUAAGGCGAAGCAUUAUUUUGAUAAGAAAACUUGCCUAUGAAAAGGGAGAGGCUGUGCUGGCCCCACAGCUCACCUCCUGAAGGUGAGAGCAGCCCCGCUGAGAUAAGUGCCCUAUUUCUGGGCAUGGCUCGGCAGCCUGUCUGCCUGCAGCCCCAAAAGAGGAUUCUGGGAGGCGAAGGUCACAGCAGAUAAAGCAUGGUAUUAGGAGCUGUCACACUCUCCAGCCUUGCUGCCACUGCUCUCUUCAUUCUCACUUGUGGGUCAUGCACAAACCCCAGUUCAGGAGUUACUCUGCUCCAGCAAGAGUGCUUUAGGCAUUUGUUACAUCCCCAGGGGUGGAAAUGCAUGUCCAAAAGAUGGUGCUGAAAGGGCCCUGCAGAUCGUCAGCAGAGCUGGGAACGUGAGCCAGGGCUGUGGCUUUUCAGGGAAAUACACCUAGAAAUAUAACAAUGGGGGCAAGCAUCACUAGAGACAUCCCAUUUAUAAUUAGUGCAUUGCUAAUGAUAGGAAGGCUUUCCCUGCGCGAGACGUAAUGUCAUUAAACUUAAACCUGGCAAACAUCAGUUAGUGGAAACAAAAUUAGCCUUGUCUGGGAAUACCAGCUCCUGCCUCAAAGUGCUAAUUUCCCCAAACAUACAGGCAGCAACCUCAGAAACUGUAAUUAGAAAACACUGCCAGGAGAUUCUUUCACCCACAAAGGCCCAAGCUCAUAAGUUUCUCCUAUCGCCCCACAGCUUGGCAUGUUUAACGGCCUCAUUGCUCAAAGUGAUAACAAGACCGUGUUGGAUUUAAUGUGGGACCAUAGAAGUCUGAUGGAAAAUUAACAGCAUCAAAUUGCAUCUCUUGCUUGGUUCUUAGGGUUGGCUGGAUGUGCUUUUUGUCUUGAUUGGUUGUUCCAACCAUGUUGUCACCUACUGCCCUGUCCUUGUGUGAUCUUCCUGCAUUGUCCUGUUGUCAUUCCCUAGCUUGC